rnacentral:lncRNA from 1 species
AAGUACGACCUGACCUUAUGUGCUUUACCAACCCUUCAGCUAGCUUCGUGUGAAUAAAGGCUUCAUUAUAUAUACGGCGUUCACAACUCUGUUUACAUGUUGGUCACGCUGUUAGCCUCAACCCUGCUGGAGCAACGCUGGCCUUUUAGCCCUUUCAGCAUCUCCGCAAAUCAAUCUCCUUACAAAAUAUGUUUUUGCUGUGUACCAUAACCGCCUGUCUCCACAGCCUCCGCUGGAAGAGGUUUUACCUGCAUGCCGAAGCAAUUCUGAAGUCACCGCUGGAAUGUCAACGCAUGCGUCACAUUGAAACACGUCAAUCAAUAAGUGUCUCCUAACUUGCUGGGUUUCGAUGAAGGCUUCCGUUUGUCUAAGCUCCGCUGGUCCUUGUGGCGGUGGAAAUCUGUGGGACGUAUGACAGCACCCACAACAAGGGCAGCUAAGAACCUGUUCAAUUGGUUAACUUACGGCGAUUACGGUGCUGACUUUAGUGUAUGUGCUCCUGGUCACUGCAGGGCUAUGACGAAUAGGGUUUGCCCAUACUUGGGCCACCCCUGAACACCCGCCUUACACAGUAACUUUGCCGAGGGAGGGAGCUGGAGGCAAGAUAUCCCCCACCCCGUUGGUGGUACCUGGGCGCCAUACUAACCGGAACGCGCACGGUGUUUACAGCAGUCGGAAAUCGUUUAAGCAUAUCCCAGACAUACCCGUGAUGCACACACGCGCAUACACACACAGAGAACAUUCAUCUUGUCUUAUCCACACGCUAGUGCUUCCUUAUUGUAAUGAGCUGUCCGAGCUGUCCAAUACUCACGGACGAAACAAAGAUCUACAAGACAAGGGCAAGAAAAGCACAUUACGAAUACGACUGCUGCCCCGUUCAACGAAAGUCGUUUCCAACCCAAGGCCGUCUGAGCUGCAAAAACGCAAAGGAGGCCACCUUGCUCGUGGGCCUAAUGCGGGGCUUAUAAUCCUCGUACGGCAACCCACUCGAUCAAUUGAUUGACCGAUAUGCGCACUGACAGUGCUCAUAUCAGGUCGGGUCGGCAGCACCGCAACCACUACAACCGCGGCCGCCAUCAACCAGCGUGUAUAAAUCGCUACAGACACCACCUCCAUUCACUCAACUCGGCAGCAACCCCUCCUACGGCAUCACCUCCAUCACACAGCACCAGAAAACGCUCCCACCAUGCAACAUAGAAAUACAGCACGCACAACUUCAUCCAAUCAAGUCAAAACCGCAAGCGAUGUGCCAGUUCCCCCCACGUAAUUGACGCCCGGAAAAACAACCUUUUACAGCGCAGGAACACACUCACUGUGCCUCUAACCCACCCCGUCCGCCCCACCUCCGCCCGCAAACAAGACCCACAAGCCACUCGCUCCGUCAUGC